rnacentral:rRNA from 1 species
GACGAACGCUGGCGGCGUGCUUAACACAUGCAAGUCGAACGGAAAGGCCCUGCUUUUGUGGGGUGCUCGAGUGGCGAACGGGUGAGUAACACGCGAGUAACCUGCCCUUGACUUUGGGAUAACUCCAGGAAACUGGGGCUCAUACCGGAUAGGAGCUCCUGCUGCAUGGUGGGGGUUGGAAAGUGUCGGCGGUUGGGGAUGGACUCGCGGCUUAUCAGCUUGUUGGUGGGGUAGUGGCUUACCAAGGCUUUGACGGGUAGCCGGCCUGAGAGGGUGAACGGCGACAUGGGGACUGAGGUACGGCCCAGACGCCUACGGGAGGCAGCAGUGGGGAAUAUUACACAAUGGGCGGAAGCCAGAUGCAGCAACGCCGCGUGCGGGAUGACGGCCUUCGGGUUGUAAACCGCUUUCGCCUGUGACGAAGCGUGAGUGACGGUAAUGGGUAAAGAAGCACCGGCUAACUACGUG